CGGACGGGUGAGUAAUGUCUGGGAAACUGCCCGAUGGAGGGGGAUAACUACUGGAAACGGUAGCUAAUACCGCAUAACGUCGCAAGACCAAAGAGGGGGACCUUCGGGCCUCUUGCCGUCGGAUGUGCCCAGAUGGGAUUAGCUAGUAGGUGGGGUAAUGGCUCACCUAGGCGACGAUCCCUAGCUGGUCUGAGAGGAUGACCAGCCACACUGGAACUGAGACACGGUCCAG
rnacentral:rRNA from 1 species